rnacentral:rRNA from 1 species
GUGAGCGUGCUAAGGUAGUGUGUAGAUAAUUAGCCUUUUAAUUGAAGGCCAGUGAAUGGCAAGACUAGGAAUAACUGUACUUUGUGUAUAAAAAAAACUUUUCAUUCUAAGUGAAAAGACUUAGAUAAUAAAGGAAGACAAAAAUGACCCCGCGGAACUUUACCUUUUCUCAUACUUCUGUCUACAAACUUAAAGGUUUAUAAGGUUUGAUUGGGGCAAUCUUGGAACCAAUAAAGCUUCCAAUUUUUUUAAAAGAAUAAUAUUAAAAAUUUACUAAGGACUAAAAAGUAGUUACCCCGGGGAUAACAGCGUAAUCCAACUAAAGAGUACACAUCGAAAGUUGGGUUUGCGACCUCGAAUGUUGGCUUAAGGAUAUCCACAUAAGUGCUAACCGCUAUGACAGGACAGUCUGUUCGACUAUUAUACCCUGACACAAGCUGAGUUAAGACU